GAUGAACGCUGGCGGCGUGCUUAACACAUGCAAGUCGAGCGAAGCGCUUUGCUUUGAAUUUUUCGGAAUGAGAAGCUUAGUGACUGAGCGGCGGACGGGUGAGUAACGCGUGGGCAACCUGCCUCAUACAGGGGGAUAACAGUUAGAAAUGACUGCUAAUACCGUAUAAGACCACAGUGACGCAUGUCACGGUGGUAAAAACUCCGGUGGUAUGAGAUGGGCCCGCGUCUGAUUAGCUAGUUGGUGGGGUAAUGGCCCACCAAGGCAACAAUCAGUAGCCGACCUGAGAGGGUGACCGGCCACAUUGGGACUGAGACACGGCCCAAACUCCUACGGGAGGCAGCAGUGGGGAAUAUUGCACAAUGGGGGAAACCCUGAUGCAGCGACGCCGCGUGAAGGAUGAAGUAUUUCGGUAUGUAAACUUCUAUCAGCAGGGAAGAAAAUGACGGUACCUGACUAAGAAGCCCCGGCUAACUACGUGCCAGCAGCCGCGGUAAUACGUAGGGGGCAAGCGUUAUCCGGAUUUACUGGGUGUAAAGGGAGCGUAGACGGCUAUGCAAGUCUGAUGUGAAAACCCGGGGCUCAACCCCGGGACUGCAUUGGAAACUGUGUAGCUAGAG
rnacentral:rRNA from 1 species